rnacentral:lncRNA from 1 species
CAUGGCUGAAACUCUCCAUUUCAAAGGUUUUGGAACUGUUUUAAAUGGUUGACUAGAUACUAAAAGGAAGAAGAAAAUGGAUAUGAAAACUGAGUCUCAGCUAGGAGUUUUCCUAGUUGCUUUUCUUGGGUCUUUCAGUUAAGAUGAGGAAACUGAAGCUCAGGGGAUGAAGUCUCUUGGCCAAAGGCACUCAGCUUGGAAGUAACAGAGGCAGAAUUUGAGCCAGAUUUGUUUGACUUCGAAGCUUCCUUUCUUAACCACUAGGCCACACACGUGGAGGUUGAGGAUCUUCACCUGGCCUCAGUGCACAGAGCUGGAACGCUGUUCUGAGAAGCCUCGCCACCUGUCCCACCUGUAGCGCUUCUCUGCAAAGCUCUGCUCGUUCUGAGGCGGGGCUGGCUGUCCUCUGACUCUGUGGAACUGUUACUCCUUCUAGAGUACCUUCCCUGAGAGGGCCAGUGUUUUCUCUUCCCAAGGAUGUUC